rnacentral:rRNA from 1 species
AUAAUCAUUUGCCUUUUAAUUGAAGGCUAGUAUGAAUGGUUUGACGAGAGUAAAGCUGUCUCACAUGUACCUAAUAAAAAUUAAUUUAAAGGUGCAAAAGCCUUUAUUAACCAAAAAGACGAGAAGACCCUGUUGAGCUUUAAUUUAAAUUGAGUAUUAAUUAUAUAUUCAUAAAAUUUACUUACUCAACUAAAAUUUUAAUUGGGGCGAUUAAGGAACAUACAAAAGCUUCCUGAUUAUUAUUAUACAAUAUUCUAUGAAUUAAAUCGAUCCAGCAAUGCUGAUCAACAGAAUGAGUUACCACAGGGAUAACAGCAUAAUUCUUUUUGAGAGCUCAUAUCGAAAAAAGAGAUUGU